rnacentral:lncRNA from 1 species
AGAAACGCCAUGUUUCCAAUAGGCGGUGCAGACAAAGACGCAGUCCAUACAAAAAAGCCCAGCGAUUCGAAAAUACACAUUAUUACAUACAUUUUCAGCCACCAAUAUCAGGGUCUUUCCACAGGGGGGAGCUUAAGUCACCAAAACUCUAAUGGACAUGGGCAAUAUCUCUCACGUAGAGCGAGCGUGGCAGGGUGUGAUGGAAAUCUAUUUAUGUUUUCCUUCUGAAAACCCGGUGCUUGGAAAUGACCCUGAGUGACCUGAUGGGGAUUGAUUUAGCUGCAGAACCGCAAGUGCACACAAAUUAACCUGACUGAAGGAGAGAGGACAGACAGAAAGAGACACAGAAAGGCCAAAGAAUUGAUCUCUGAAGCAUCAGUCCUUAUGGAUGCCCAGGAAGACAGAUGGACUAAAUGAAUGAAGGAGAGCAAAGAGGGAAAACAGUAGCUGCAUCUGAGUUUGAAUGCUUAACCCUUGUAUGUACGGAUGUUUCACCAGUCGGUUGUAAAUAUUUAGCAACAGAACAUAUAUAUCUACCACAAGAUAAUACACUGUAA